GACGGUCUUGCUGUCACUUAUAGAUGGAUCCGCGCUGCAUUAGCUAGUUGGUAAGGUAACGGCUUACCAAGGCAACGAUGCAUAGCCGACCUGAGAGGGUGAUCGGCCACACUGGAACUGAGACACGGUCCAGACUCCUACGGGAGGCAGCAGUAGGGAAUCUUCCGCAAUGGGCGAAAGCCUGACGGAGCAACGCCGCGUGAGUGAUGAAGGUCUUCGGAUCGUAAAACUCUGUUAUUAGGGAAGAACAUAUGUGUAAGUAACUGUGCACAUCUUGACGGUACCUAAUCAGAAAGCCACGGCUAACUACGUGCCAGCAGCCGCGGUAAUACGUAGGUGGCAAGCGUUAUCCGGAAUUAUUGGGCGUAAAGCGCGCGUAGGCGGUUUUUUAAGUCUGAUGUGAAAG
rnacentral:rRNA from 1 species